UACGUAGGGGGCUAGCGUUGUCCGGAAUCAUUGGGCGUAAAGCGCGUGUAGGCGGUCCGGUAAGUCCGCUGUGAAAUCUCGAGGCUCAACUUCGAGCUGUCGGUGGAAACUGUCUGGCUAGAGUCCGGAAGAGGAGAAUGGAAUUCCUGGUGUAGCGGUGAAAUGCGUAGAUAUCAGGAGGAACACCGGCGGUGUAGACGGCUUGCUAGACCAUAACUGACGCUGAGGCACGAAAGCGUGGGUAGCAAACAGG
rnacentral:rRNA from 1 species